GACGAACGCUGGCGGCGUGCUUAACACAUGCAAGUCGAACGGAAAGGCCCUGCUUUUGUGGGGUGCUCGAGUGGCGAACGGGUGAGUAACACGUGAGUAACCUGCCCUUGACUUUGGGAUAACUUCAGGAAACUGGGGCUAAUACCGGAUAGGAGCUCCUGCUGCAUGGUGGGGGUUGGAAAGUUUCGGCGGUUGGGGAUGGACUCGCGGCUUAUCAGCUUGUUGGUGGGGUAGUGGCUUACCAAGGCUUUGACGGGUCGCCGGCCUGAGAGGUUGACCGGCCACAUUGGGACUGAGAUACGGCCCAGACUCCUACGGGAGGCAGCAGUGGGGAAUAUUGCACAAUGGGCCGAAGCCUGAUGCAGCAACGCCGCGUGCGGGAUGACGGCCUUCGGGUUGUAAACCGCUUUCGCCUGUGACGAAGCGUGAGUGACGGUAAUGGGUAAAGAAGCACCGGCUAACUACGUG
rnacentral:rRNA from 1 species